rnacentral:rRNA from 1 species
AUUGAACGCUGGCGGCAGGCCUAACACAUGCAAGUCGAACGAGUGGCGGACGGGUGAGUAAUGUCUGGGAAACUGCCCGAUGGAGGGGGAUAACUACUGGAAACGGUAGCUAAUACCGCAUACCAUCGGAUGUGCCCAGAUGGGAUUAGCUUGUAGGUGAGGUAACGGCUCACCUAGGCGACGAUCCCUAGCUGGUCUGCGAGGAUGACCAGACACAUUGGACCUGAGACACGGUCCAGACUCCGACGUGAGGCAGCGGUGGGGAAUAUUGCACAAUGGGCGCAAGCGUGAUGCACCCAUGCCGGGGGUAUGAAGAAGGCCUUCGGGUUGUAAAGUACGUUCAGCGGGGAGGCGUUACCCGCAGAAGAAGCACCGGCUAACUCCGUGCCAGCAGCCGCGGUAAUAC